AGAGUUUGAUCAUGGCUCAGAACGAACGCUGGCGGCAGGCCUAACACAUGCAAGUCGAGCGAGACCUUCGGGUCUAGCGGCGGACGGGUUAGUAACGCGUGGGAACGUGCCCUUCUCUGCGGAAUAGCCACUGGAAACGGUGAGUAAUACCGCAUACGCCCUUCGGGGGAAAGAUUUAUCGGAGAAGGAUCGGCCCGCGUUAGAUUAGAUAGUUGGUGGGGUAACGGCCUACCAAGUCUACGAUCUAUAGCUGGUUUUAGAGGAUGAUCAGCAACACUGGGACUGAGACACGGCCCAGACUCCUACGGGAGGCAGCAGUGGGGAAUCUUAGACAAUGGGCGCAAGCCUGAUCUAGCCAUGCCGCGUGUGUGAUGAAGGUCUUAGGAUCGUAAAGCACUUUCGCCAGGGAUGAUAAUGACAGUACCUGGUAAAGAAACCCCGGCUAACUCCGUGCCAGCAGCCGCGGUAAUACGGAGGGGGUUAGCGUUGUUCGGAAUUACUGGGCGUAAAGCGCGCGUAGGCGGAUUGGAAAGUUGGGGGUGAAAUCCCGGGGCUCAACCCCGGAACUGCCUCCAAAACUACCAGUCUAGAGUUCGAGAGAGGUGAGUGGAAUUCCAAGUGUAGAGGUGAAAUUCGUAGAUAUUUGGAGGAGCACCAGUGGCGAAGGCGGCUCACUGGCUCGAUACUGACGCUGAGGUGCGAAAGUGUGGGGAGCAAACAGGAUUAGAUACCCUGGUAGUCCACACCGUAAACGAUGAAUGCCAGUCGUCGGGCAGUAU
rnacentral:rRNA from 1 species